AGAACGAACGCUGGCGGCAUGCCUAACACAUGCAAGUCGAACGGGACCUUCGGGUCUAGUGGCGCACGGGUGCGUAACGCGUGGGGAUCUGCCCUUAGGUACGGAAUAACAGUUAGAAAUGACUGCUAAUACCGUAUAAUGACUUCGGUCCAAAGAUUUAUCGCCUAGGGAUGAACCCGCGUAGGAUUAGCUUGUUGGUGAGGUAAAGGCUCACCAAGGCGACGAUCCUUAGCUGGUCUGAGAGGAUGAUCAGCCACACUGGGACUGAGACACGGCCCAGACUCCUACGGGAGGCAGCAGUGGGGAAUAUUGGACAAUGGGCGAAAGCCUGAUCCAGCAAUGCCGCGUGAGUGAUGAAGGCCUUAGGGUGUAAAGCUCUUUACCCGGAUGAUAAUGACAGUACCGGAGAAUAAGCUCCGGCUAACUCCGCACCAGCAGCCGC
rnacentral:rRNA from 1 species